UACGAAGGGGGCUAGCGUUGCUCGGAAUCACUGGGCGUAAAGGGUGCGUAGGCGGGUCUUUUAAGUCAGGGGUGAAAUCCUGGAGCUCAACUCCAGAACUGCCUUUGAUACUGAGGAUCUUGAGUUUGGGAGAGGUGAGUGGAACUGCGAGUGUAGAGGUGAAAUUCGUAGAUAUUCGCAAGAACACCAGUGGCGAAGGCGGCUCACUGGCCCGAUACUGACGCUGAGGCACGAAAGCGUGGGGAGCAAACAGG
rnacentral:rRNA from 1 species